rnacentral:rRNA from 1 species
UACAGAGGGGGCAAGCGUUGUUCGGAAUUACUGGGCGUAAAGGGCGCGUAGGCGGCCCGCUAAGUCGAACGUGAAAUCCCCGGGCUCAACCCGGGAACUGCGUCCGAUACUGGUGGGCUUGAAUCCGGGAGAGGGAUGCGGAAUUCCAGGUGUAGCGGUGAAAUGCGUAGAUAUCUGGAGGAACACCGGUGGCGAAGGCGGCAUCCUGGACCAACACUGACGCUGAGUGAGCGAAAAGCCAGGGGGAGCAAACGGG